UGAGUACGAGAUGCUACGGCAUUGAAGCAGUCUAUGUCAUACUUCCAAGAAAAGCUUGCACUGUCAUAAACAAAUAAUGCCUGUACCAUAACCGACACAGGUGGGUAGGUAGAGUAUACUAAGGGGCGCGAGAUAACUCUCUCUAAGGAACUCGGCAAAAUGACUCCGUAACUUCGGGAGAAGGAGUGCCUCAUUUAUAAGGUUGCAAUAACAAGAUCCAAGCAACUGUUUAUCAAAAACACAGGUCUCCGCUAAGUCGUAAGACGAUGUAUGGGGGCUGACGCCUGCCCAGUGCCAGAAGGUUAAAGAAGUUGGUUAGCAUUCGCGAAGCUGAUAACUGAAGCCCUGGUGAACGGCGGCCGUAACGAUAACGGUCCUAAGGUAGCGAAAUUCCUUGUCGGGUAAGUUCCGACCCGCACGAAAGGCGUAAUGAUUUGGAUACUGUCUCGGAGAGGGGCUCGGUGAAAUGGACUUGUCUGUAAGAUGCGGACUACCUGCACCAGGACAGAAAGACCCUAUGAAGCUUUACUGUAACUUGAAAUUGAAAUAGGACUUUAUUUGCGCAGUAUAGGUGGGAGGCGUUGAAGAUAUUCUUGCGGGAGUAUUUGAGCCAUCAGUGAGAUACCACUCUUGUAAUGUUAGAUUUCUAACUUUGUAUCAUUAUCUGGUCAAAGAACAGUUUCAGGCGGGCAGUUUGACUGGGGCGGUCGCCUCCCAAACGGUAACGGAGGCGCACAAAGGUUUCCUCUGAACGGGUAGAAAUCGUAUCUAGAGUGUAAAGGCAUAAGGAAGCUUGACUGUGAGACCUACAAGUCGAGCAGGGACGAAAGUCGGUCUUAGUGAUCUGACGGUGCUGAGUGGAAAGGCCGUCACUCAACGGAUAAAAGUUACUCUAAGGAUAACAGGCUGAUCUCCCCCAAGAGUUCACAUCGACGGGGAGGUUUGGCACCUCGAUGUCGGCUCAUCGCAUCCUGGGGCGGUAGUACGUCCCAAGGGUUGGGCUGUUCGCCCAUGAAAGCGGUACGCGAGCUGGGUUCAGAACGUCGUGAGACAGUUCGGUCCAUAUCCGGUGUAGGCGUUAGAAUAUUGAGAGGAGCCUUCUUAAGUACGAGAGGACCGAGAAGGAUAUACCUCUGGUGUACCAGUUAUCGUUCCAACGGUAAACGCUGGGUAGCUAUGUAUGGAGAGGAUAACCGCUGAAAGCAUCUAAGUGGGAAGCCCACCUCAAGAUAAG
rnacentral:rRNA from 1 species